AUUUAGUUUUCCUUCACUGAUAAACUGAGAAAAGCCAGAAUGUUAUUGAUUUUUUCUUGGGGUAAGACCGUACGCUUUCCUGUUAGGGAUGGAUGUCAAUGCUGCUUUCAGCUGGUGGCCUAUCAAAUCUGAGAGCCUUUGAAUCUCAGAGGAAAUGGCCCCUCUACCCUUCUCCACUUAAAUACCAAGCUUAGUUCGCAUGGUGCAGGGCUUGAACAUGUGACCUAAGUCACAAGUUCAAUAAAGCUGACAACUUUGACAACUUUGAUGAACUAUAUAUGAUCGCUUUUCUAUAUAACCAGAAACAAUCCAAAACAAUCAUGCCAGAGAUUUCAGUAACUACGCCAGCAUAAAUUGGCUGACCAUAUCAUUCUACAGAGCUAUUUAGAAGUACUAGGGCAAUCUCGGAAAAAUUAUUAGGGCAAUCAUAUAUAUAUAAAUGUACUAGAUGGGAUCGGCCCGGGCUUGCCCGGGCCCAACACUUUGGAUUAGAGCGUGUUUUAUUUUGAUAAAUAUUGUUUGAGCGUAAUGAAUACCAUGGUAAGUCUUGCUUAAAAAGUACUGCUCUGUGAUGAAGGCAAGAAUCACUUGUAAGAUCGGUUAACAUUUCCCAAGCAGGAGCACUUGCAAUACAUAAGAAGUUCAGUGUUUUAUCAUUGCAGAUAUAAAAAUAUGUCUUUUUUCAACUGACUUUACCAAACUACCUCAUAAAACAUUGUGCAUGUAUUUUACUGACCCAAAUAGUAUUUGAUACAGUCGCUAUAUUAAGAGCUUUUUAGAACUGAAAUUACCGAAGUUAACCAUAGUAAAAGGUAUUACAAGAUGAUUUAAUAACAAUUUAAAUUUUCUAAUGAAUAAUGAGAUGAAUGAGUUAAAAAUAAAAAAUCUGUCUCCCCACAAACAUAAAUAGAAAAGGGUGAGCUAUAUAUAAGAAAUUGCCAGAUAUGGAAAUAGAUUUGUCUGCUGCUAUUAUUCAUAUAUAAGAUAAGUACAAUGUGAGACAGUACAAUCGUUUGUGUGACAUGGCAUCCAAUUUGAAGGCAUUUAAGUAUAUAAAAGUUCUAAGAUUUAGGUUUUUCAACUUUAAAUUAGUUUCUCAAUUAACUUUACAAUAAUUUUUUCUAACCGAUUAAUCCUUAUAUUUUUAUGAGUUUAUUUGGUUCACAUAUUAUUACUAUAAUUUUUUCUAAUCUAUUAAUCCUUAUAAUUUUAUGAGUUUAAUUAGUAGUUUAACGUACUAAGCUUUAAAUCAAUUACCAAUUUAGUUAUUGAUUUAAUUCAUAUAUAGUUGAUUUUAACAUUACAUAAUUGGUGUAGUCAUUCAAGGAAGAGCUUAAGUAGACCCGCAUCAGAGGCGGAGCCAUAAUUUAAAAUUAGUGGCUUCGGAAUUUUAUUCCUUCUGAGUUAUUAAGUUCUAAAUUAAUAAUUUGUAUAUAUUCAAUGACUUAAAGACAAAUACAGAGUUUGGACCAAAGCAAGUGGGUUCGAUCAAACCCACAUCGGAAGCUCUAGCUCCGCCCCUGCGCAUGGUUAUGGUAGCCUAAACAUACUCAAAUGUACAUGUAAAAUCACCGAAAAGUAUCAAGCAUUUAAUACUCUUGGAGCAUUUAAAAGAAUCUAAAAAUAAAUUACAUCUAGUACUACUAAUCAGUAAUUACAAUCUUAGAAAUAAAAUUAUUUAAAAUAUGUUUGAAAAAAUAGUAUACUAAAAAUUAGCCAGUCAAACCCUCAGUGCUGAAAAACUUUUCUCUAGUUAUUAAUGAGCAAUGGUUGAAAAAAAAUUCUGAUUUUUUUUUCCAAAUCUUGCAAAAACAAAAAACAAAAAGAAAAAUCAACUUGAAUUAAAGCAAACUCCUGAAUAUUCACAAGUCUAGUAAUGUGUCUUAAGCUAGCUACUUGUAUACUAUUCCUAAGCAUCACUAUUAAUUGCACGCAGAAAAAAAAUAAAGAACGUCUCAUGGAUAAUUUUCCAAUAAUAAUUACAACUUAUAUAAACAGAUCCUCCAAGCAUAAUGUCUUUGACCGUUCAUAAUAGUAAUGUACACAAGUAACUAUACUGUUAAAGUUACUUCUGAAAAGGAGGUCGACAUAGUCAGAGAGCAGCUAAAAGGCUGCAAAUGUGUCAGCUACUGGGACCCGGUGGUUCAGCAAUUUUAUGAUUAUUUUGUCCGGAUAAGGAAACGUACAAUACACAAUGCAAUUUAGCACCACAGGAUUAAAGCACAGUUGCACAUGAAAUGUCAGAAUUACCCUCCGUCGGCAAGAAGGGAUGUCGACGGAGAGCUGCUUCUGCGCUCUUCUAUAUAAGUAGAAUAUAUCUGGACAAUUUCCCAGAGCCCACUUGUGGGAUUUCACUAGGCUUGUUGUUGUUGUUUGCUUAUCUAUCGCAUUAAGUCUAGAAAUGUUCAUUAAGCAAAUGACCACUUAAAAGCACUUUCAUAUAAGGAAUGUUAUGUAGGCUAUUAGAGAAAAAUUAAUCUGGAAGCGCUGCUAGGAGAAGGGGGUAAAGUAGCCUAUUGGCCAUGAGAGAAACAAGUUAUUGAAAAAACCUGCUGGGUGGGAUUGUGCGGAAGCAAUGACUACCAAGAUUUUGAAGCUGCUAUUUGUAUGAUACAAUAUAUUAAUGAAUUGGUCAUGCCAUCAAGAUACCCAGAAUUUUGAGAAAGACAAAAUUUCAACGAAAUUUUUGACACCUAAAAAUUAUUAACUUCCUUUUACUUAAAUUAUUCCAACUUAAGAUACUAUUUGAAAAGAAGAACAAACUGUGUUGUCCCCCUCCUUUUCCUAUAGGGGAAAUGCAAAGAGACAUAAGAGACCACUGAUAGAAGAGAGUCAUGCCAAACUAUAGCCGUGA